UACGAAGGGGGCUAGCGUUGUUCGGAAUUACUGGGCGUAAAGGGCGCGUAGGCGGUACUUCAAGUCAGGCGUGAAAGCCCCGGGCUCAACCUGGGAACCGCGCUUGAGACUGGAGAACUAGAGUUCGGGAGAGGAUGGUGGGAUUCCACGUGUAGCAGUGAAAUGCGUAGAGAUGUGGAGGAACACCGAUGGCGAAGGCAGCCCCCUGGGCUGAGAUUGACGCUCAGGCACGAAAGCGUGGGGAGCAAACAGG
rnacentral:rRNA from 1 species